AAGUCGUAACAAGGUCUCUGUUAGUGAACCAGCAGAGGGAUCAUUAUAGAGUUACAAAACUCCUAUCACUAUUGCAAACUUACCUUACACCGUUGCUUUAGCAGGCAGCCCUAGGCUUUUGUUUUCACAGAUCCUUAGGGCCCUAUAGCCUGAUUAUCAGGUACCUGCUAGAGGUUAUAUAACUAGACAUUGUUUAUAGCCUGUUAGAAUUUGUACUACCAAUUAGUUAAAACUUUCAACAACGGAUCUCUUAGUUCUA
rnacentral:misc_RNA from 1 species